AUCGUCAUCGUCAUAAAGAAAUGACGCAUUAGAAAAAGAAUAUGAAUUGUUUUUUUUUUUUAUACCACUCCAGGUGGCGUUUUACAUAUAAACAUUACUCAAUGGAAUACAAGGGAGACUUUACAAUUAACAACAAUUCUCAAGACAGACAGUGUAUAUUUAAAUUGGAAAUGGGCUGGACUGCGGCCUAAUUGGCGUUCCUGAUGUUCAUUACGUGAUAUAGACAAAGAAGUCACAACUAUCAGGAAAGAAUUCCGGACUCAAUCGUAAAAGGGCAACAGAACUUACCAAUUAUUCAUAGAUAGCCAAAAAUUGUGUCACUCGUCAAACUUCCUGCAAAAAUUCUGGAUAUGAAAUUAAUUAAAAUAUAGUGUAAAUUUAUUUUUUAAAUGUUUUCUAUGCAAUAAUCUCAAAAAUAAUGUUAGCAAUAUGUAGUAAUUCUUGUAGGUUUUAUGUUUAUUAAUAUUGUAUUAUUACUGCUAAUGUUUAUCUUAUUAAUAGAGAAAGUAACCCGUUUGUUGUAAAGAAUAUAGAUAACAUAAUAUAAAAGAAUAUAAGAUAAUAAGAUAUAACAUUUUGAGGAUUAAGAUUAGAUUUAUUGAUCUUUGCCGGAUGUACAUGAUAUAAGCCUACAGUAUAUAAAUAUAAAAUGUAUAUAAUAUAUAUAUAUAUAUAU